rnacentral:tRNA from 1 species
CCCCGCGUAGCUCAAAGGAUUAGAGCAGUCCCGUCCUAAGGGAAAGACUCCAGGUUCGAGUCCUGGCGCGGGGA